CCUACGGGAGGCAGCAGUGGGGAAUAUCGGGCAAUGGGCGCAAGCCUGACCCAGCAACGCCGCGUGAAGGAAGAAGGCUUUCGGGUUGUAAACUUCUUUUAAGAGGGAAGAGCAGAAGACGGUACCUCUUGAAUAAGCCACGGCUAACUACGUGCCAGCAGCCGCGGUCAUACGUAGGUGGCAAGCGUUGUCCGGCUUUACUGGGUGUAAAGGGCGUGCAGCCGGGAAGACAAGUCAGAUGUGAAAUCCCGCGGCUCAACCGCGGAACUGCAUUUGAAACUGUUUUUCUUGAGUACCGGAGAGGUCAUCGGAAUUCCUGGUGUAGCGGUGAAAUGCGUAGAUAUAAGGAAGAACACCAGUGGCGAAGGCGGAUGACUGGACGGCAACUGACGGUGAGGCGCGAAAGCGUGGGGAGCAAACAGGAUUAGAUACCCCUGUAGUC
rnacentral:rRNA from 1 species